ACAGCAGCAGCCACGGUAAUACGUAGGUCCCGAGCGUUGUCCGGAUUUAUUGGGCGUAAAGCGAGCGCAGGCGGUUAGAUGAGUCUGAAGUUAAAGGCUGUGGCUUAACCAUAGUACGCUUUGGAAACUGUUUAACUUGAGUGCAAGAGGGGAGAGUGGAAUUCCAUGUGUAGCGGUGAAAUGCGUAGAUAUAUGGAGGAACACCGGUGGCGAAAGCGGCUCUCUGGCUUGUAACUGACGCUGAGGCUCGAAAGCGUGGGGAGCAAACAGGAUUAGAUACCCCUGUAGUCCCUGUCUCUUAUACC
rnacentral:rRNA from 1 species